AUGAAUAGCUUCUUGGUGUAAAAGAUCCAUCAGACUAAAAGAACUAUUGUGUAGAAUGUUUUUACACAACAGUUCUUUUAGUCUGAUGGAUCUUUUACGCCAAGACAUGAAAU
rnacentral:sRNA from 1 species